ACCAGCUCUCCAUAUCGCCGUCCCCCCCAGCCGAAACUCCACAGCUUACCUCCCAACCAGGGCACGCAGCCGAUGUCGACGGCUCCACCUCCAGCGCCGCCUCACGCCGGUGACCCUCCCCUACUCUGUCUCCAAUUAUAAGCUCUCUCUAUCUCUACCCUUCGGUCUCUUCUCUCUCAAAUUGAAGGAAAUCAGUCGCGCCCGGAAAUAUUGGAUUAGCGCUACGAGGUGAUGACAUUUAUGAAGAUGAGACUGCAGGACAGGACUUGACUCCGG